rnacentral:rRNA from 1 species
CGCAAGUUGCGCCCAAAGCCAUUAGGUUGAGGGCACGCCUGCCUGGGCGUCACGCAUCGCGUCGCCCCCUCCCACUUUCUCCUUUGUGAGUGUGGGUGGAUUUGAGGGGACGGAUAUUGGCCUCCCGUGCUCCUUUUGUGCGGCUGGCUUAAACUUGAU